UAUUACAGGGCCUUGCCCAUAGUAGCUCAGUAAAUGUUUGCUGGAUAAAUUGAAUGCAGCAUACAUACCCUUUUCAAGAAUUUAGUUGCUAGUUGUUACGAGUAAAAAUACCUGCCAUUGUUGCCAACCUAGUAUUUAUUCUUACCUCUUAAUUUUCGCCAAUCUGAUAGGUGAAAAUAGUUUAUCAGGGUAGCUUUUGAAAAAAUAUUUAAUUGACAAAUAAAAAUUCAUCCAUGUUGUUGGAAAUGGCAGGAUUUUCUUCUUUUUAUGGCUGAAUAAUAUUCCAUCGUGUGUGUGUGUGUGUAUGUGUGUGUGUGUGUGUGUCUCACACUUUAUUCUUUAUCCAUUCCUCUGUCAAUGGACAUUUAAGUUGUGUCUAUGUCUUGGUUACUGUGAAUAAUGCUGCAUUAAACAUGAGAGUGCAGAUAUCUCUUUGAGAUACUGAUUUUAUUUCUUUUACAUACGUACCCUGAUAUGGUUUGGUUCUGUGUCCCCACCCAAAUCUCAUCCUGAAUAUACUCCCAUAGUUCCCAUGUGUUGUGAGAGGGACCUGGUCGGAGAUUAUUGAAUCACGGGGGCAGUUUCUCCCAUACUGUUCUUGUGAUAGUGAAUAAGUCUCACAAGAUCUGAUGGUUUUAAAAAGGGGAGUUUCUCAGCACAUGCUCUGUUCUUUUGUCUGCCGCCAUGUGAGAUGUGCUUUUUAUCUUCCACCAUGAUUGUGGGGCAUCCCCAGCCACAUGGAACUGUAAGCCCAUUAAACCUCUUUCUUUUGUAAAUUGCCCAGUCUCAGGUAUGUCUUUAUCAGCAGCAUGAAAAUGGACUAA
rnacentral:lncRNA from 1 species